rnacentral:rRNA from 1 species
AGAGCGAACGCUGGCGGCAUGCUUAACACAUGCAAGUCGCACGGGUAGGGGAAACCCUGUCAGUGGCGGACGGGUGAGUAACGCGUAGGUAUCUAUCCUUGGGUGGGGGACAACGGCUGGAAACGGCUGCUAAUACCGCAUGAUGACCGAGGUCUAAAGGCGCAAGUCGCCUGGGGAGGAGCCUGCGUACGAUUAGCUUGUUGGUGGGGUAAAGGCCUACCAAGGCUACGAUCGUUAGCUGGUCUGAGAGGAUGAUCAGCCACAUUGGGACUGAGACACGGCCCAAACUCCUACGGGAGGCAGCAGUGGGGAAUAUUGGACAAUGGGCGCAAGCCUGAUCCAGCAAUGCCGCGUGUGUGAAGAAGGUCUUCGGAUUGUAAAGCACUUUCGACGGGACGAUGAUGACGGUACCCGUAGAAGAAGCCCCGGCUAACUUCGUGCCAGCAGCCGC